rnacentral:rRNA from 1 species
UACGUAGGGUGCAAGCGUUGUCCGGAAUUAUUGGGCGUAAAGAGCUCGUAGGCGGUCUGUCGCGUCUGCUGUGAAAACUCAGGGCUUAACCCUGAGCUUGCAGUGGGUACGGGCAGACUAGAGUGCGGUAGGGGAGACUGGAAUUCCUGGUGCAGCGGUGAAAUGCGCAGAUAUCAGGAGGAACACCGGUGGCGAAGGCGGGUCUCUGGGCCGUAACUGACGCUGAGGAGCGAAAGCAUGGGGAGCGAACAGG